UUGAAACAUGAGUUCCCAUACGAUCAUCGAAGUUAAACACCGUCGAGCCUGGUCAGUAACUAGACGGGUGGCCGCUUGAGAAUACCAGGUGCUGUAAG